GGCGAGUAGUCGGGAUCUGGGCGUAAGCGUGUGUAGGCGGUUCGGAAAGAAAGAUGUGAAAUCCCAGGGCUCAACCUUGGAACUGCAUUUUUAACUGCCGAGCUAUAGUAUGUCAAAGGGGAGGUAGAAUUCCCCGUGGUAGCAGUGAAAUGCGUAGAUAUGUGGAGGAAUACCGAUGGCGAAGGCAGCCCCCUGGGAUAAUACUGACGCUCAAACACCAAAGCGUGGGGAGCAAACAGGAUUAGAUACCCUGGUAGUCCACGCCCUAAACGAUGUCAACUAGCUGUUGGGGCCGUUAGGCCUUAGUAGCGCAGCUAACGCGUGAAGUUGACCGCCUGGGGAGUACGGUCGCAAGAUUAAAACUCAAAGGAAUUGACGGGGACCCGCACAAGCGGUGGAUGAUGUGGAUUAAUUCGAUGCAACGCGAAAAACCUUACCUACCCUUGACAUGUCUGGAAAGCCGAAGAGAUUUGGCCGUGCUCGCAAGAGAACCGGAACACAGGUGCUGCAUGGCUGUCGUCACCUCGUGUCGUGAGAUGUUGGGUUAAGUCCCGCAACGAGCGCAACCCUUGUCAUUAGUUGCUACGCAAGAGCACUCUAAUGAGACUGCCGGUGACAAACCGGACGAAGGUGGGGAUGACGUCAAGUCCUCAUGGCCCUUAUGGGUAGGGCUUCACACGUCAUACAAUGGUCGGGACAGAGGGUCGCCUACCCGCGAGGGGGAGCCAAUCUCAGAAACCCGAUCGUAGUCCGGAUCGCAGUCUGCAACUCGACUGCGUGAAGUCGGAAUCGCUAGUAAUCGCGGAUCAGAAUGUCGCGGUGAAUACCUUUCCCGGGUCUUGUACACACCGCCCGUCACUUUAGAGUUUGGAUCUGGCUCAGAUUGAACGCUAGCGGGAUGCUUUACACAUGCAAGUCGACAGUCAGCUCGAGAGAGCUUGCUCUCUUGGCGGCGAGUGGCGGACGGGUGAGUAAUAUAUCGGAACGUGCCCAGUAGCGGGGGAUAACUACUCGAAAGAGUGGCUAAUCCCGCAUACUCCCUACGGGGGAAAGGGGGGGAUCGCAAGACCUCUCACUAUUGGAGCGGCCGAUAUCGGAUUAGCUAGUUGGUGGGGUAAUGGCUCACCAAGGCAACGAUCCGUAGCUGUUUUGAGAGGACGGCCAGCCACACUGUGAGUGAGACACGGCCCAGACUCUUACGGGAGGCAGCAGUGGGGAAUUUUGGACAAUGGGGGAAACCCUGAUCCAGCCAUCCCGCGUGUAUGAUGAAGGCCUUCGGGUUGUAAAGUACUUUUGGCAGAGAAGAAAAGGUAUCCCUUAAUACGGGAUGCUGCUGACGGUAUCUGCAGAAUAAGCACCGGCUAACUACGUGCCAGCAGCCGCGGUAAUACGUAGGGUGCAAGCGUUAAUCGGAAUUACUGGGCGUAAAGCGUGUGUAGGCGGUUCGGAAAGAAAGAUGUGAAAUCCCAGGGCUCAACCUUGGAACUGCAUUUUUAACUGCCGAUCUAGAGUAUGUCAGAGGGGGGUAGAAUUCCAACGUGUAGCAGUGAAAUGCGUAGAUAUGUGGAGGAACACCGAUGGCGAAGGCAGCCCCCGGGAUAUACGACGUCAGCACAAGAGCCUUUU
rnacentral:rRNA from 1 species